rnacentral:lncRNA from 1 species
AUUUAUUUUCGGUGUCUUCAGCGACAAAAAUAGAAACGUGUCAGAAAAUUUAAACAGGCAUCAAUCUGAAUUUUUAUAAGAAUAGAAUCUUUGACAUGGGUAAUUAAACAUAUCAUUUGCCCUACCCCAGGACAUUUCCAUUAACCUAAAGCAUAUGUAAACUUUCUUAUUUAUAAAGCCAGAUUGUACAACAUGUACAACAUUUUUCUUUCAUAUCAAGUUCAACUCAAGCAGACGAAACAAAUGUUCAAUUGUUUAUUUAAAAGAUUACUUGGGUUUUACUUUUUUGGAAUUCAUUUUUUAUAAACAUUUGAUAUUGCAAGUCUAGUAAGUAUAAAAGUGUUCACAACUUCGUAUAGAUACUUAUAAAGUUAGGUCAUAAGAAAAAAAUGUUGGAAAAUAUUGGUCUUUGGACUAGUAGUAGAACAUGAACAAAUGUAGUUGAAAAAGAUUUUGGUGCAGACUGUUUAAUCAGAUAAAAGAUUUUGGUGCAGACUGUUUAAACAGAUAGUUUACACUGUUAUAACAUCCCUUGAUCAGCUGUUAGACUGUUUGUCAUGUUAUUCACUACAAUGUACCAUUAGCUGAUAAAUUUUUUGCACCUAAAAUGCUAAAACAAACACACAAUUUCAAAAGCAAAUAAUGAUUGAAAAAAUGGCAGACUUCAUACAAAUUAACAAGUUUUAAGUCAAGCUUUGGUAGAAAUUAGACUGAAAAGUUUGUUUUAAUGAUUCUGUUAUAACUUAAGCUAAUUAGCAAUACCUGAUCCUGAUCCUAAGAUCAAAAAUUGACACGACUACUGUCUCUCUCUUGUAUAGUAGAUUCCUCUUACGAUGCACCAUUCCACCUAUGAUCCUGGUUCUGAUUAUUUGCAUGAAGUGAGUUCUCAGGCAUCCCACUUAUUGAAAUUGGAAUUUUACACUAGUCAUUUUUUAGGGCACUUUAAAGCUUGCUGUUUGAUCCCUGUUGUCAGACAUACAUGUAUAUAUUUAUAUGUUGGCUUACUUUUACAUGUUUUAUCAAUUGUGACUUGGAUGGAGAGUUGUCUCAUUGUCACUCAUACCACAUCUUCAUAUAUCAUGUAUAUCAUUAAAAGCAGUGUGAUUAGAAUAUUGUGAAGAGCAAAGAUUUGCAAAUCAAUUUAUGGAAUUGAUCAUUAAGGCAUGACUAAACAAUUGUAGAUUAAACGUGGAGCAGGUGCAUGAUGCGUCAUGUGUGUCUUGGAAAAAUAAAUUGUGUAUUUAUCAAUGUCUAUGUUAGUCUAGGCCAGGGAUGGGGUCGAUUACUUUAAAAUGUAAUCAAUAAAAUAACAAUUACUUUGCUAAUAAAAUGUAAUCAAUUACAAUACAAUUACACCCUUUUUCAUAUGUUAUCGAUUACAUUAGAUUACUUUUCUUUAAAGUAAUCAUUACUUUAGAUUACUUAUCAUGCUUAUGAUUACAUUGUACUGUAUAUUGCAAUAUAUCAAAGUUUUUUUUAUAAUUUUUUAUCCUCACAACAAAGCUAAUUUUAGUGAUUUUUUUAAAAGCCUUAAAUUAUUCAUCUUAAUUUAAAGAAUUUAUAGACAAGUACAGUGUAACAUGAGUAAUUUGAUAAAAUAGCUAUUACAGACAUGUGCAUGUACUUUCUCUAUGUAUAAGAUAUAACUUUAUUUUUUUCUACAAAUUUUAACCAACUGCCUAAUUAACAAAAAACCUGAACAAAUAAGGAAAAAUUAAUUAAGUCUAGUUAUUGUCUGUUGGGACAUAAUUGACACAUCCAUUAAUGUUUUUACAGGUGUUAAUCACCACUUCCAUUUUUUUUUAACAAACAAUAGGUGAGCUUGGGUAUUAAAAUUUUAUUGUCUUAAUAACAAUAUCAAUAAAGUUAAAAGUGGUUGAUUGUCAUUAUUUUGUUUAAAAUUUUUGAAUACUUGAUCUAAUUAAUAAUUAUUGUCAGAUGGAAACACAAAACAGCUUUGUAACUUAGGAAAGUACAGUCAGGGGUACUACUUGUACAAGUGUAUUUUAUUUACUUGAAGAAGUAAAAAAAAAUAUACACAUAUAAGUAAAUUUGUAGGAUACUUAUACAAGUGAAUUUUAUUUACUUGUAUAGGUAAAAAAAAAAAUGGCUUAGUUAUGUCCCUUAGGCACUCAGAAUUUUUUACUUGUAUAAGUAAAAAAAUCAUCCUUUCUUCUUUUCUUGAAUUCUUAAGAUUUCUUUGCUCUAAUAGAAUUUUAAAUUGUGUACCCUUUACAGAUGUCUUUACUAAUUAUUUAAGUGUAAUUUCAUGGACAAUGAAAAUCCCAUUUGUCUGUUAUCUUCAUAACACUGCUCAUUUACAAGCCCCAAAGGAGCAAUUUUUGAUUGCCUUGCGCAAAUAUACAAGAUCUUUGCUCAAUCAGUUUCUUUGAUGAAUUAAUGAGAUGAAACAUUGAACUUUAAUGAAAAAAUUUGAGCAAACCUGGGAAAAAUCAUUAAAGGCAUGAUUUUACAUCUCAAAACUUGAGGAUUUUUGUGGGAUUGUAAGAAAAAUUUACUUAUACAAGUAAAUUUUUUAGAAAAUUAAGGGGAGAUUAUUCAAACAUUAUUUAUUUACUUAUAUGUGUAUAUUUUUUUUUACUUCUUCAAGUAAUUAAAAUACACUUGUACAAGUAGUACCCCUGACUGAAGUAUAUACAUUUCUCUUUAAAUUAAGAAACAGUUUGAAAUUUAUUUUAAUAAAACAUAUAUUGUACUAAUGAAUCUUCUGACGUCACCUGUUGUUUACUAUGCAUAUUGUUUGUAAUAUUAUGCCAUAUGUAUACACUGUACAUGUACUUGUUUGUACUGAUGAGCCGUAAGGCUCAAAGUUAAUACAUGUAAAGAAUAAAAAUUAGAAAGCACAUAUUAGUCAAUGCAAGUCUGAUAUACAUGAUAUACAAAUGUAUGUGAAUUUAAGGAAACUGCUAUUAAAUAAUGUUAUAGACAUGAUAAAGAACACCACAGACAUUACUGAAUUACUAUUCAGAGGUUCUUCUUGUACAACAUUUGUACAAGUUCUUUUUAUUUACUGGGAGAAUUAAAUAAUAAUAUCAUGAAUAUACCAUUAACUUUCAAUUUGUUAUAUUCAUAUUUUCUUUAUACAUAAAAGCAAUACAAGGUUUAAAUAAUUUCUCCUAAAUUUUCAAUUUCUACAAAAAAAUACUUGGACAGAUGUGUAAAUAAUUUUUUUUUACAUUAUCCUCAAUUUUUCAAAUUUGAUAAUGUAAAAAAAUGCUUUAAACAAUUUGUCUUUGGUAAGCUUAUAAUAAUAGAGUUCCAUGCUUCAUCUCAUUAAUUCAUCAAAGAAACUGAUUAUGCAAAGGUCUUUCAAAGUUAUUGCACAAGGUCUUUAAAAAUUGCCCAUUGGAGGUCUAUAUUAAACUGAGCAGUGUUUGGAAGAUACAUGUAACAAACAAAUGAGAUUUUCAUUGUCCAAAAAUUGACACUUAAAUUGAAUGAUAAGUCAUAGACAUCUCAGCAGUCUUCAAGCUGAACUGCUAAAUCUACAGGCCCGCAGCUCAAUUUUUGAAAAUUUUUAGUUAGAUUCUGUUGGCCUUUAAAUUUUACAGGCCGGAGAGCAAUUUUACCUGCCUGGGCUGCCACUUGUCGUGAAGACUGCCAUCUGCAAAGGACAAUUAGAAAAUUUAGUAGAGCAAAGAAGUCCUGAGAAAUUCAAGAAAAGAACAUAAAAUUACUUUUUUACUUGCAAAAAUGUGUAACAUUUUGUCUAAGGGACAUGUUACUUUUAAAGCCAUUAAAACCAUUACCUACAUGUAUACAAGUAAGGGACGACAUCAAAAAUUCAAUGAAGGAUAAAAAACUUAAUUCAAAUAGUUUGGGGGGGAGGGUCAAAAGUGCUGCAAGUUUUGUUUUAUUUACAUCAAUUUUAUAUAUAUCCUUAUUGGUCAAUUAAUUUUUCCCAAAUUAAGUUAAGAGGGGGGUAUGGGGGUCAGUGAAAAAACGAUUUGAAUCAAGUUUUUUAUCCUACAUCAUGUGCAUUGAACUUUUGAUGUGGUUCCUAAAUAAAAUAUACUUGUAAAAGUACAUGUAUCUGACAAAUUUUCUUAAAAGUAUAUUGAUAUUAACUUCUUCAAGUAAAUAAGAAAUAAGUGAAUAACUUGUACAAGUACAUUGUUGAAGUACCCCUGACUGAUUAAUAAAUUUCCAGAAGAAUAGAAAAUAUAUGGGGGUAGGUACAAAUGUGCUUUAAACAAGAAUUCAUGAGUAAUGGGGUCGAGAGAAGUUUUUCCAAUAUAUAUAAAUCAUGCAAAUACAUGAUUGUGAAAUGUUUUUAUUAAAGAAUAGAAUGAAUGGUAAAAGUUGGGGAAAAAAUGCCUUUCAUAUCCCUCACAUAUUUUUUUCCUGGAACAGCCCAUGGAUACAAAAAAGAAUGAAUUGCAAUCAAACAUUUUAAAAUGAUCUUGCUACUUUUAAUAAUGUUUGAUUAUCCUAACUGCCAUCAAUCAUAGCAGUUAUCAGUCAGGGGACUUACUUAACAAGUGAUUUUCUAAAUCACUGAUGCAAGUAACAUUAUUUCUUUAAAGGUUGGAAGUUAGAGUUGUCUUUCUUUAAUAAUCGCCUAUUAAAGUAGUACACAUUAAUCACUAGAAGAAGUGAUUUAAUUUUAUUGUAGCUUUAAAUAUAGAAUACUACUGAUCCAGGGACUAAUUAUGUUUCUAAACUUAUCAGAACCAACAUCUGUGUUGUCUAGGAUGACCAGGUCAUUUCAGGUGAUGACCUUGUACUGAAUCUAGGAUAAUGACAUAAAAAUCACUUGUUUAAGUAUCAGACCUCAAUUUCCUUCCCAAAAAUCACUUCUUUAAGUAUCAUUCUUUUAAUAACCCCCACUAAUUUCAACACCCCUGAACAGUGAAAUUUUUAUCCCGAACAGUAGAAUUUUAUUACAUAAUCUGAAAGAUGAAACCUUGAACUUCACAGGAAAAAUACUCCCACUGUUGAAAGUAUCAGUUCAUUAUGUAAAGCCAUUAUUAUAGCAUUUUUUCAAUUAAAAUAGAAUUUUCAGCUAAAUGAUAGCAUCAUAGGCAUAAACCUUGCUACUGAAAAGAAGCAAAAAGUUCAUAUUUUUUAGGGACGACAUCAAAAGUUCAAUGAAGGAUAAAAAACUUAAUUCACAUAGUUUUUUCACUGACCCCCCCACCCCCCUCUUAACUUAAUUUGGGAAAAAUUUAUUAACCCAUAUAGAUAUAUAAUAUGUAGAGACAACAACAUCUGGGUUACCGCAAGGUGAUAGUUUUAUUGAGUCGACAUGUUUCGCCGCUAAUGCGGCAUCAUCAGGACAAUAUUACAGAGUUUACAUGUUCAUAAAGUGUAUAUAAUGCGGUUGUAUUAAUUAUGACGUAAAAGAAUAAAAGUGAAAGUGAAAAUGUAAAAUAGUGUUCAUAAUGUAGCAAGAAUAAAAGUUAAAAAUAGAAAUAAAAACAAAUGUUUAUCUUGACUGGUAUGUUCCGUAGUCACUGUGAUGGAGGUUAAUAUAUAAAUAGAAAGUGAAAGUGAAAUUAAAAUAAGAAUCUAGUGUAGUUAAAAGUGAAAGUUAGUCAAUAAAGUUAUUAACGAUGUGGUUAGCUGCUAUUCUUGCACGUCUGUGUAGAGGUCCUCAUAGUGGUUUAUAAAUUGUCAGUUCAUUUCCAAAUAGGACAACACCCCAUUGGCCAUCCCGUACCAAUUCAACUGAUAUAUGUAAAAAUCAAUGUCGGAUAACCACAUCUUGCAGCAGUUCAACCCCACCCCCAAACUAUUUGAAUUAAGUUUUUUAUCUUACAUUGAUCUUUUGAUGUCGUCCCUUAAUUUUACUAAUUAAAAGAUAUUAUUUAAACCUACAUUGUAUGUGUUUAAAAUUUUGAAAAAACUACAAAAUCUCAAUUUUGUUAAAACCUCGAAUAUGCUACUCAAAUAAGUGAUUUAAAAAUCACUUAUUUCAGUAAGUCCCCUGACUGGUUAUAAUCAAAGAAGAUAAAAUGAUUUAUAAGAUAAUAGACUUGAUACACCAGAUGUAAUGCUUGAUCUGUUUGUUUCAUUGUUCUUAUCAUGCAACAAUGUACAAUCUGUUACUAUAUUACAAUGACUUCAUCUCAAUCAAACAAUACUUCCUAUGUCUGAGCAUAACAUGUUCUGAUAAAUUCUAGUACAGUUAUAUAAGGAACAAUAUAUAAUAAGUUAAUGCAGUCACAUGACCAGCAUUGAACAGUGAGUGUCUGAAAUUUGAAAUAUUUAGGGAUUGUAGUAGAAGGUCACUUUUUGGGGCUAGUAUAUGAGUCUAUGACUUUGAAGACAUGGUAAAUAUUUGGAAAUGAAAUACGUAGGUUACAUGUAGCUUCUUUUUUACACUAUUUUGUUAUUUUGAUUCAGAAUAAAUAUAUAGGAGAGAAGAAAUGCUUAUCAAUAAAAACUUGAUAGAAAUUUAAAACAUGUGACAGCAGACUAUUUGCCAAAAUAUUAGAAAAACAUGAUAAGCUUCAGUAAAUAUAAACAUGAUAAACAGUGACCAACAUUUUUUCUGCCAAAAAGUAGAUCCAGCUAUAAAGAAAUGUUUCGUUUCUAUGUUGUUUUGCAAUUUUAAUCUUCUUUUGUGAAUCAAAUGAUUAAUGUUGUGUUGUUAAAUCAUUUUCCAUUGAUUUGGCAAAAUUUGCUUUGAUGCUGCUGCAAAAGUUACAUGAGUUAUGUAUCAGUAGUGUGAGAAAAUUAUAUUUAUAAAUGUAUUAAUUCUUGUGCAAUGGUUUCAGGAACAAUGUGAAGUAAUACUUUCAAUCAAAGAUAAGAAGUUGGGUAGGAGUACAUAUCACCAUCAUGGAGUCACUUUUGACUGCUGGAGACACAGCUUACAGUAGGCCAUCCAGAAUGACAAUGAAAUACACUAAACUACACACGGGAGAAUCCAAUGGAAAUGUUGACCAGG